rnacentral:rRNA from 1 species
ACGCACGCUGGCGGCUUGCUUAACACCUGCAAGUCGAACGGAAAGGCCCUGCUUUUGUGGGGUGCUCGAGUGGCGAACGGGUGAGUAACACGUGAGUAACCUGCCCUUGACUUUGGGAUAACUUCAGGAAACUGGGGCUAAUACCGGAUAGGAGCUCCUGCUGCAUGGUGGGGGUUGGAAAGUUUCGGCGGUUGGGGAUGGACUCGCGGCUUAUCAGCUUGUUGGUGGGGUAGUGGCUUACCAAGGCUUUGACGGGUAGCCGGCCUGAGAGGGUGACCGGCCACAUUGGGACUGAGAUACGGCCCAGACUCCUACGGGAGGCAGCAGUGGGGAAUAUUGCACAAUGGGCGGAAGCCUGAUGCAGCAACGCCGCGUGCGGGAUGACGGCCUUCGGGUUGUAAACCGCUUUCGCCUGUGACGAAGCGUGAGUGACGGUAAUGGGUAAAGAAGCACCGGCUAACUACGUG